UACGUAGGGUCCGAGCGUUGUCCGGAAUUAUUGGGCGUAAAGGGCUCGUAGGCGGUUUGUCACGUCGGGCGUGAAAACUCAGGGCUCAACCCUGAGCGUGCGUUCGAUACGGGCAGACUAGAGGUAUGCAGGGGAGAACGGAAUUCCUGGUGUAGCGGUGAAAUGCGCAGAUAUCAGGAGGAACACCGGUGGCGAAGGCGGUUCUCUGGGCAUUACCUGACGCUGAGGAGCGAAAGUGUGGGGAGCGAACAGG
rnacentral:rRNA from 1 species